AAUUACCUCCAAAUUCCUUUUCUUUCGAAAUCUUUUCUUUGAUUACCCUAUUACGGGUUUAGUUUAGUAAUUUGAUGUCCACUUCUGAUAUUUUCCAUUGAGAAAAUAAUUUCUUAUGACUGAGUGCUUGAAGACUGCUCUAGUAUAUGGUGUUUAAUGAAUACUUGAAGUUCUCACAAUCUAUUUGUUGAAGUGUGUGACCGUUUCUUCUAAAAGCUUAAGUUGUUAGAGAUUGAUUAACUCUUGAGGGCUAAUAGAUUUUAAUAGAAUGAUAUUAAACACCAUGUGGC
rnacentral:lncRNA from 1 species